rfam:Loxodonta africana cont3.54989, whole genome shotgun sequence.
AAGGACCCCGGAGUUGGAGUCUCAGGUUUGCUCUCCUUUGGGCCGCUGCGGGAACAGAGAUACGAAAAGAGCUUCAAGGGG